rnacentral:pre_miRNA from 1 species
GUACUACUCCCUCCGUCUCAAAAUUCUUAUUUUAGAUUUGUCUUGAUACAGAUGUAUCUAAUACUAAAACGUGACUUGAUACAUCCGUAUUUAGACAAAUCUAAGACAAUAAUUUUGGGACAGAGGGAGUACUCG